AUUGCGUUUGGACCGAAAAUCGACGAUUUUCCGAGUGAAGUCAUGGCUUGCACGAAUUCUGAUGGUUAUAUUCGAGAACCUACUGAUUAUUUCGAUUUCAUUGCGUUUGGACCGAAAAUCGAAGAUUUUCCGAGUGAGGAUAUCACUGUAUAAACAUGGCUUGCACG